AUGAACAAAGCUCAUGAGUUUCUAGGUAUGCUUGGCUCAAUUGAUUGCAUGCACUGGAGGUGGAAGAACUGUUGUACAACAUGGCAUGGGCAAUUCAAAGGACAGAAGAAGGAUGCCAACAUCAUUCUUGAAGUCGCGGUCGAUCAGGUCUUGACACUUAUGCCACUCGGAGGGUGGUCGACGCUUAAGGCCUUCACGACCGCCUUCUUGCAGUAUGCUAUCGCCUUGGGCCCCAUCAGGAAGUUGAGGUGGGUCUCGACCUGCUCCGACCCCAGCUCGUCCCCGGACACCCACGUCGGGUCUUCAGGCCCCAACAUCGGGGACGGCCGGGCCUGA
rnacentral:rRNA from 1 species